AACGAACGCUGGCGGCAGGCUUAACACAUGCAAGUCGAACGCAUCCUUCGGGGUGAGUGGCAGACGGGUGAGUAACGCGUGGGAACGUGCCCUUCAGUUCGGGAUAACCCAGGGAAACUUGGGCUAAUACCGGAUACGUGCGAGAGCAGAAAGAUUUAUCGCUGAAGGAUCGGCCCGCGUCUGAUUAGCUAGUUGGUGGGGUAAUGGUCCACCAAGGCGAUGAUCAGUAGCUGGUCUGAGAGGAUGAUCAGCCACAUUGGGACUGAGACACGGCCCAAACUCCUACGGGAGGCAGCAGUGGGGAAUAUUGGACAAUGGGCGCGAGCCUGAUCCAGCCAUGCCGCGUGAGUGAUGAAGGCCUUAGGGUUGUAAAGCUCUUUCGUCCGGGACGAUAAUGACGGUACCGGAAGAAGAAGCCCCGGCUAACUUCGUGCCAGCCGCCGCAGUAA
rnacentral:rRNA from 1 species